rnacentral:rRNA from 1 species
UACAGAGGUGGCAAGCGUUGUUCGGAAUUACUGGGCGUAAAGGGCGCGUAGGCGGCCCGUCAAGUCCCGUGUGAAAGCCCCCGGCUCAACCGGGGAACGGCGCGGGAAACUAGCAGGCUUGAGUUCGGGAGAGGGAAGCGGAAUUCCGGGUGUAGCGGUGAAAUGCGCAGAUAUCAGGAAGAACACCAAUGGCGAAAGCAGCUUUCUGGGACGGUACUGACGCUGAGACGCGAAAGCGUGGGGAGCGAACAGG